UACGGAGGGUGCGAGCGUUGUCCGGAAUCACUGGGCGUAAAGGGCGCGUAGGCGGUCUGCUAAGCGUGCGGUGAAAGCCUGGGGCUCAACCCCAGGUCUGCCGUGCGAACUGGUGGACUCGAGCACUGUAGAGGCAGGUGGAAUUCCGGGUGUAGCGGUGGAAUGCGUAGAGAUCCGGAAGAACACCAGUGGCGAAGGCGGCCUGCUGGGCAGUUGCUGACGCUGAGGCGCGACAGCGUGGGGAGCAAACAGGAUUAGAUACCCUGGUAGUCCACGCCGUAAACGAUGGGAACUAGGUGCUUGGGGGAGCGACCCCCCGAGUGCCGGCGCUAACGCAUUAAGUUCCCCGCCUGGGGAGUACGGCCGCAAGGCUGAA
rnacentral:rRNA from 1 species